UACGUAGGGUGCAAGCGUUGUCCGGAAUUAUUGGGCGUAAAGAGCUCGUAGGCGGCUUGUCGCGUCGGAUGUGAAAGCUCGGGGCUUAACCCCGGGUCUGCAUUCGAUACGGGCAGGCUAGAGUGUGGUAGGGGAGAUCGGAAUUCCUGGUGUAGCGGUGAAAUGCGCAGAUAUCAGGAGGAACACCGGUGGCGAAGGCGGAUCUCUGGGCCAUUACUGACGCUGAGGAGCGAAAGCGUGGGGAGCGAACAGG
rnacentral:rRNA from 1 species